rnacentral:rRNA from 1 species
UACGUAGGGUGCGAGCGUUGCCCGGAUUUAUUGGGCGUAAAGGGCGCGUAGGUGGUUCGGUAAGUCGGGUGUGAAACCUCCAGGCUCAACCUGGAGACGCCACCCGAUACUGCUGUGACUGGAGUCCGGUAGGGGAGCGUGGAAUUCCUGGAUGUGAGCGGUGAAAUGCGCAGAUAUCAGGAGGAACACCAGCGGCGAAGGCGGCGCUCUGGGCCGGUACUGACACUGAGGAGCGAAAGCGUGGGUAGCAAACAGG